UACAACCUGAUGGGUUGUUGCUGGUUCUCUAGGGAGCAUGUGCACGCCUUGUCAUCUUUAUAUCUCCACCUGUGCACCUUUUGUAGACCUUUCAGGUCUAUGUUUGCUUCAAAUACCCCUUUGUAUGUUAAUAGAAUGUUGUGCCUAUAUAAUAUAUACAACUUUCAGCAACGGAUCUCUUGGCUCUCGCAUCGAUGAAGAACGCAGCGAAAUGCGAUAAGUAAUGUGAAUUGCAGAAUUCAGUGAAUCAUCGAAUCUUUGAACGCACCUUGCGCUCCUUGGUAUUCCGAGGAGCAUGCCUGUUUGAGUGUCAUUAAUAUCUAUAUCAACCCCCCCUUCUCUUGUGUAGGAGUGGUUUGGAUUUGGGGGUUUGCUGGCCUCUUAAAAAGGUUCAGCUCCCCUGAAAUGCAUUAGCAGAACAAUCCUUGUUCAUUGGCGUGAUAACUAUCUAUGCUAUUGAAUGUGAGGUGCAGUUCAGCUUUCUAACAGUCCUUUGGACAAAUUCAUCAUUAAUGUGACCUCAAAUCAGGUAGGACUACCCGCUGAACUUAAGCAUAUCAGUAAGCGGAGGAAAAGAAACUAACAAGGAUUCCCCUAGUAACUGCGAGUGAAGCGGGAAA
rnacentral:rRNA from 1 species